rnacentral:sRNA from 1 species
ACCUUGGCAUUAUAAUGGAACAGCAGUCUAAACCCAUAUAGAAAGAACGAAUA